rnacentral:piRNA from 1 species
CUUAACACCUUAGGGCUUGCCGA